CUGACCUCUGCACCCUUUUGCUCCCCACCUGUCCCAAAAAAGUGGAGCUAUAACUGUGGGAAAAGGGGAUCUGAAGUCAGACACAGGAUCCACAGUAGCCUGGGGACCUUUCUCACCCCCGCCCUUAAGCAGGCCCCAACAUAACCGGCUGAGAAACCUCCUCUGCCAGAUCCUGACCUGAGCCAGGAGGCGGCCAGGAAACUGGAUUUUGGGACUGGGAUUUCAGAGAGGAAGCUGGAGAGCUGCAGGGUGGUCAUCUGUCACUUUAUUUUGCCCGUCUUGUAGCAUGUGGGUCUUUCGCAGCAGGAAGUGUGUUUUACAACCAGAGCCCCCGCCCUCCUGCAGCGCAGGCGCAGCUGGCUGGGCUCCUGCUUCCCACUCUCCACCUCAUCCAUAUUUGUCCUCGUCCCUGCCAGUCUCGAAAAGGCACUCUGUCACGUGUACACAGGAAAGGGCCCUGACAAGAGGAUGGGACUGCAGUUGUGGCUGCCAGGGCCCCGGCCAGGGUGAAAACAAGGAACAUUCCAGAGAAGAUCACAAGGAUGCGAAUAAAAUCGGAGCUGCACAGGGAUCUUUGGGCUGAGCUUUCUGUCUGGCUUCCCUCCUGGCCCCUCGUGUAUGCAUUCUCUCUAGCGGUGGGGAUUAAGGAGAAAACUCACGUGGCCAGUGGGUAGAGAGAGUCCGGGCAGGCAGCUGCCUGAAGUCAGCCAGAGUCUGCAUGUGCCCAGCUGUCCUGGCCUCCAGCAUCUCUGGAAAAACAGAGACAGAAUGAGUAGCAGCAGGGGACCCCAUAGGGCACAUCUGAAGGCCUGAGAGGUGCUGGAUGGGAUGGGAAGGCAGAAACAGGCUGACCUUAUCUAGGGGUAGGAGUGGGGAGUACUGGUUGGGGUAUCACCGCUACCCCACGUGAUGGCACAGAGAGUUGCCUGGAACUUACCACUGACAUAAGGUUGGAGUGCAGUGGCACGAUCUCGGCUCAGUGCAACCUCCGCCUCCUGAGUUCAAGUGAUUCUCCUGCCUCAGCCUCCCUAGUAGCUGGGAUUACAGGACAAGGAGAGGGACAAAUUCCUUCUUGGCAUCCUUAUGGCCCUGUGACCUGCUAAUGAAUGCUGACUCUGAGUUGCUACUAGAAUUUGGUUUCCUUGUGGCUUCCCAGGAAUUGGUCUCACUCUGCUCACUCUGUCUCCCAAGCUGGAGUGCAGUGGUACAGUCACGGCUCACUGCAGCCUCCACUUCCUGGACUCAAGUGAUCUUCUCACUUCAGCCUUCUGAGUAGCUGGGACUACAGCCCCCUCUGCAGCUCUUCAUGGGGGUCCACUCAAGUCAGAAGCCACAUUUGGGUGUGAUUCAGAGAGCUGUUUAUGCAAAACCAGCUUUGUCACCAUCAGGCAAGGCACCUGAAUUCCCACCGCAGAGAGUGUUGUGGCCGUGAGGACUUUUCUGUCACCAGCCAUUUCCAGGUAGACCCAGUGUAAUCACAAGCAUCCUUGUAAGUGGCAAAGAGGCAGAGGAGACAGCGCCAGAGAGGCAGCUGCAUGAGAAGGAUCAAGAUGUUGCUGACUUUGAAGUUGGAAGAAGAAGGCCAUGAGCCUCAGUAUGUGGGCGGCUUCUAGAAGCUGGAAGGGGCAAGGAGAUGGAUUUGACCCUUCAGCCUCCAGGGGCAGCUGUACCUGCCAUCACUGAUUGUAGCCUGGUGAGGCCUGUUUUAGACUUCUGACCUGUAGAGCUGUAACAUAAUACAUUUGGGUUGUUUUCAACCACUAAGUUUGUGGUAAUUUGUUGUAGCAGCUGUAGAAAAUGAAUACAUAUGAAUCCUCUGGCAUUUGUUUGAGAUUUGCUCUAUGGCCUAGUAUGUGGUUGUAAAUGUUCCAUCUGUGCCUGAAAAAAUGUAUAUUUCUAAUUCAGUAGUCUCUGCUUUUUUUUUUUAUUUUGUACCCCAUCAAUAAAAUGAUUUUCAGCAUGUAUCCCCAAAUAAACAAUAUUUUAUUUAUUGAUUGAUUGAUAAACAGACAUGUUUAAUGAUAGCUUGCUUUUCACAGAGGUGACUUCGGAGACUUCUAAUCUAUAAUCCAGGAGUAUAUAACCAUGCAGCACAGACCAAUUAGUCACAUGUAAAAUAAACUAGAUUCUUACCAC
rnacentral:lncRNA from 1 species